GGAGAGGUGUCUGAGUUGGUUUAAGGUACCGCUCUCGAAAAGCGGCAGGGGUUCAUAGCCCCUCGGGGGUUCGAAUCCCCCCCUCUCCGCCA
rnacentral:tRNA from 1 species